AUGGUCGCGAUGUGUCUGAUCUCUGUAACCAAGGCCACCUGGCCUGCACAGCUUUGUUCAUCCACCCUAGGUUGGGUAUGCCUAAUCCACCUGCCCAUUUGGGGGCACACACAGCCUCCCAAGCGACUGUGCAGCUUCCGCCAGACGAGCUUGACUCCGCGCACCAUAAGAAGCUGCGGCAUAUUCUGUUCAUUGCUGAAAUUGUCUUCUGUGGGAGGUCGAGCGCCAUCAUCGCGUGCAGCGGAAUUGCACAGAGUACAGAUUGAACAAGAAGCAUUCUUCCACUCUUUGGCAUCCUUGCUUCUUUCCAUUUUGGCAAUGCCGUUGCUAGUUGGUCCACAAGGCCUGAUAGCUGUACAUGUGACUGUUUUCUCAGGGUGA
rnacentral:rRNA from 1 species